UACAGAGGGUGCAAGCGUUAAUCGGAAUUACUGGGCGUAAAGCGUGCGUAGACGGUUAUUUAAGUCAGGUGUGAAAUCCCCGGGCUCAACCUGGGAAUGGCGAUGGAGUACUGGACAGCUAGAGUGUGUCAGAGGAUGGUGGAAUUCCCGGUGUAGCGGUGAAAUGCGUAGAGAUCGGGAGGAACAUCAGUGGCGAAGGCGGCCAUCUGGGACAACACUGACGCUGAAGCACGAAAAGUGUGGGG
rnacentral:rRNA from 1 species